GACGAACGCUGGCGGCGUGCCUAACACAUGCAAGUCAACUUGACUGAAGGAGCAAUCUGACAGUAGAGUGGCGCAAGGGUGCGUAACGCGUAAGUAACUUGCCCCAAGGUAAGGAAUAACGUCGAGAAAUCGGCGCUAAUACCUCAUAAUGCAGCGGAUCCGCAUGGAUAUGUUGUUAAAGGUUUACCGCCUUGGGAUAGGCUUGCGUCUGAUUAGCUAGUUGGUGUGGUAACGGCACACCAAGGCUACGAUCAGUAACUGGUCUGAGAGGAUGAUCAGUCACACUGGAACUGAGACACGGUCCAGACUCCUACGGGAGGCAGCAGUGAGGAAUAUUGGGCAAUGCUCGAAAGAGUGACCCAGCAACGCCGCGUGGAGGAUGAAGGUAUUCUAUAUCGUAAACUCCUGUGAGAGCAGACGAAAGACAGAUUAUAAUCUGGAUGACUGUAUGCUCAGAGGAAGCCCGGCUAACUACG
rnacentral:rRNA from 1 species